GCGGGCGUGGCGGAGCUGGCAGACGCGCCGGGUUUAGGUCCCGGUGGCCGAGAGGCCGGGGAGGUUCGAGUCCUCUCGCCCGCA
rnacentral:tRNA from 2 species